ACGGGAGGCAGCAGUGAGGAAUAUUGGUCAAUGGACGGAAGUCUGAACCAGCCAAGUCGCGUGAAGGAAGACGGUUCUAUGGAUUGUAAACUUCUUUUGCCUGAGGGUAAAGUGAUCUACGUGUAGGUUAUUGCAAGUAUCAGGUGAAUAAGCUCCGGCUAACUACGUGCCAGCAGCCGCGGUAAUACGUAGGGAGCAAGCGUUAUCCGGAUUUACUGGGUGUAAAGGGCGUGUAGGCGGGACAUCAAGUCAGAUGUGAAAGCACGAGGCUCAACUUCGUGUCUGCAUUUGAAACUGACGUUCUUGAGUGUUGGAGAGGCUAACGGAACUCCUAGUGUAGCGGUGAAAUGCGUAGAUAUUAGGAAGAACACCAGUGGCGAAGGCGGUUAGCUGGACAAUAACUGACGCUGAGGCGCGAAAGCGUGGGUAGCAAACAGGAUUAGAUACCCUGGUA
rnacentral:rRNA from 1 species